CUACAGAACGACGCUGGCGGCAGGCCUCAAACAUGCAAGUCUAGGGGGUGUAGCAAUACAUCACCGGCGGACGGGUGCGUAACGCGUGGGAAUAUACCUAUCGAUUCGGAACAACUGAGGGAAACUUCAGCUAAUACCGAAUACGUCCUAACGGAGAAAGAUUUAUCGUCGAUAGAUUAGCCCGCGUUCGAUUAGCUAGUUGGUGGGGUAACGGCCCACCAAGGCGACGAUCGAUAGCUGUUCUGAGAGGAAGAUCAGCCACACUGGGACUGAGACACGGCCCAGACUCCUACGGGAGGCAGCAGUUGGGAAUCUUGGACAAUGGGGAAACCCUGAUCCAGCCAUGCCGCGUGAGUGAUGAAGGCCUUCGGGUUGUAAAACUCUUUCGCGCACGACGAUAAUGACGGUAGUGCGAGAAGAAGCUCCGGCUAACUUCGUG
rnacentral:rRNA from 1 species